rnacentral:rRNA from 1 species
UACAGAGGUCUCAAGCGUUGUUCGGAUUCAUUGGGCGUAAAGGGUGCGUAGGCGGCGCGGUAAGUCGGGUGUGAAAUCUCGGGGCUUAACUCCAAAACUGCAUUCGAUACUGCCGUGCUUGAGGACUGGAGAGGAGACUGGAAUUUACGGUGUAGCGGUGAAAUGCGUAGAUAUCGUAAGGAAGACCAGUGGCGAAGGCGGGUCUCGUGGACAGUUCCUGACGCUGAGGCACGAAGGCCAGGGGAGCAAACAGGG